UCAUAGUCGAGAGGGAAACAACCCAGACCACCAACUAAGGUCCCUAAGCGCGUGCUAAGUGGGAAAGGAUGUGGAGUUGCUUUGACAACCAGGAGGUUGGCUUAGAAGCAGCCACCCUUGAAAGAGUGCGUAAUAGCUCACUGGUCAAGUGAUUCCGCGCCGACAAUGUAACGGGGCUCAAGCACGCCACCGAAGUUGUGGCAUUGACAUUUGGUAGGCCUUCGUGGUCCAGCCGUGUUGAUGGGUAGGAGAGCGUCGUGUGGCGAGUGAAGCGGCGGGGUGACCCAGCCGUGGACGCUACACGAGUGAGAAUGCAGGCAUGAGUAGCGAAAGACGUGUGAGAAACACGUCCUCCGAAAGACCAAGGGUUCCAGGGUCAAGCUAAUCUUCCCUGGGUAAGUCGGGACCUAAGGCGAGGCCGACAGGCGUAGUCGAUGGACAACGGGUUGAUAUUCCCGUACCGGCGAAGAACCGCCCAAGCUAAUCCAGUGGUGCUAAGAGUCCUAGCUCGGA
rnacentral:ncRNA from 1 species